rnacentral:rRNA from 1 species
ACGCUGGCGGCGUGCCUAAUACAUGCAAGUAGAACGCUGAAGGAGGAGCUUGCUUCUCCGGAUGAGUUGCGAACGGGUGAGUAACGCGUAGGUAACCUGCCUGGUAGCGGGGGAUAACUAUUGGAAACGAUAGCUAAUACCGCAUAAGAGUAGAUGUUGCAUGACAUUUGCUUAAAAGGUGCAAUUGCAUCACUACCAGAUGGACCUGCGUUGUAUUAGCUAGUUGGUGGGGUAACGGCUCACCAAGGCGACGAUACAUAGCCGACCUGAGAGGGUGAUCGGCCACACUGGGACUGAGACACGGCUCAGACCCCUACGGGAGGCAGCAGUAGGGAAUCUUCGGCAAUGGACGGAAGUCUGACCGAGCAACGCCGCGUGAGUGAAGAAGGUUUUCGGAUCGUAAAGCUCUGUUGUAAGAGAAGAACGAGUGUGAGAGUGGAAAGUUCACACUGUGACGGUAUCUUACCAGAAAGGGACGGCUAACUACGUGCCAGCAGCCGCGGUAAUACGUAGGUCCCGAGCGUUGUCCGGAUUUAUUGGGCGCAAAGCGAGCGCAGGCGGUUAGAUAAGUCUGAAGUUAAAGGCUGUGGCUUAACCAUAGUACGCUUUGGAAACUGUUUAACUUGAGUGCAAGAGGGGAGAGUGGAAUUCCAUGUGUAGCGGUGAAAUGCGUAGAUAUAUGGAGGAACACCGGUGGCGAAAGCGGCUCUCUGGCUUGUAACUGACGCUGAGGCUCGAAAGCGUGGGGAGCAAACAGGAUUAGAUACCCUGGUAGUCCACGCCGUAAACGAUGAGUGCUAGGUGUUAGACCCUUUCCGGGGUUUCGUGUCGCAGCUAACGCAUUAAGCACUCCGCCUGGGGAGUACGACCGCAAGGUUGAAACUCAAAGGAAUUGACGGGGCCCGCACAA